AUCCAAAUAGCUUAAGUUUAAAGCAAAGUAUUGAAGAUACUUAGAUAAGUUUGUCUUUUUGGAUA
rnacentral:tRNA from 1 species